AGAAAUGUAGUUGAAGAUGAACAACAUUUCAUUACAAGUUGUCCAUCAUGUACAAAGAUGAUCUGUAGGGAGAAGUUUUUCAAGGAGAUAUUUUUCAGUAUUUUUGCAAAUUUUUCAUAUCUCUCAAAUGAAACAAAAUUUGUUUUGUUAUGUAUAUUUGAGAAUGUGUCUGUACAUAAAUAUUUAGGGAACUACAUUUGUAUAUUGUAACAAUAUAAAAAAAGAAGAUGUGGUAUGAUUGCCAAUGAGACAACUAUCCACAAAAGACCAAAAUGACACAAACAUUAACAAUUAUAGAUCACCGUACGGCCUUCAACAAUGAGCAAAGCCCAUACCGCAUAUAGUCAGCUAUAAAAGGCCCCGAUAAGACAAUGUAAAACAAUUCAAACGAGAAAACUAACGGCCUUAUUUAUGUAAAAAAAAAUGAACGAAAAACAAAUAUGUAACACAUAAACAAACGACAACCACUGAAUUACAGGAAGUCUAGAUGUUAAACGAAAUGUAAAUGAAUAAACGUUACUUAACAAUGAUAAUUGUAAUGAUUUUAGAGUGCAGGUCACGUUUUGAAUAAAAUAAUGUAUGUGACUUAUUUAGAAUAAUAUUUCGUUUCAACGUAUAAAAUAUGGCAGUGGCUGUUUUGUCGACUGCCUUCGGGGGCUAUUUUACCAGCUCCAGCAAAAUAGCGAUUUAUAUAGAGUUUUGCUAUUUUGCCGGUUUUAAUUAAGUUAAGAAUAACUUAUAAUUGACAAUAUCAAACAUGUGAACACUAUAUGCUCAAGUUUAAACCUAAGUGACUCAGUUUAAUAAGUUACCCAAUACUUUAAAAAAAAAAAACUUAUGAAAUCACGAUGUAGCAAUAAUCAUUUUAUACUUUCCAAUUAAAUCUUACCUGUAAAAUGGCGCAAAUGUAGUUUUUUCAAUAGUAUCAUUGACAGCUACAUUUAUAAAAUAAAGAAUAAAAACGGGGAAUGAGUCAAAGAGACAGCAACCAAAUCAAAAUAUACAAUUCAACCAAAGGUCAUUGGGUCUACAACACAGCGAAAAAUCACACAUAUAUACAUGUCUCUGACUAGAGGGAGCCAUGAGCAGGCCCAUAAACACACUAUUAGAUAGAUCAAGAAUAAAGACGCCAUUCUAUGCUGCUAAAUAUAAAGAUAAACCAAAAUUAAAACAUAUACAAGAGCAACAAAGGCUAAAGGUUCCUGACAUAGGUCAGACACAAAAAUGCACUAGUGUGGAUCUAGCCGGCGUUAAUAUUCAUGAGGCUAGCCGUCAAUAAUAUUCAUGAGAUCAAAACCGCGUUCGAUGAAAUGUUUUGGGUAGUUAUUAGAUUGUGACAAUAAAAUAACUUUUGCUGUUAAUAUCCAUUAUGGUUAUGCUAUUUAUAGCAAUAUAAAGUAAUUAGGAAAUAGUAAGCCAAUAGGUGUCUUCUGCAAGGUCCGCGUCAUUUAAAAUGAAAGUAAAUGAAAAGUUUAAUUGCAUUGCCUCACACAACACAAAAC
rnacentral:lncRNA from 1 species